UCUAAGUGGUCGAUAGGGUCGGCUGUCCUAUCGUAGAUCUCUAGCUGAGGUAGCUUGAAGUGCUGAGGGAGUGGCUCCUGUACUAUCUUCUAGAUGAAGGGCAGCUCACUGUUAAAUCCCUCAUAGGGUUGCACUGAGGAGUGGUUAUUGUUGAGUGCAUUCUCAAUCUUUUUUUCUAUUUGUUUGUUGGGUGCCUGGAACCAUCUUUCAAUAUCAAGAUCUCAGACGAUGCAGGCCUCGAAAUGCUACUGAGAAUGACGAUUGAGGGUUGAAUCAUGCCCCGAUCACGAACUAAGAGAUCUCCGUCUAGUGUAUUGUUGGGCCCUAGAACGGCUCUAAUGAGUGUGUCUUCUCUUUGGGCUCUAAGGAGGCAUACGCAGCUCUGAUCGUGGUGGUGACUGAGGAGCUGAGUGUAGAACUAGAUUCGAUGGGGGCACUACCGCGGGAGGCACCGAUGGUGCCACCAAAAAGGACACCGAUUGCACCGCUAAAGGAGGUACAGGGGCAGCCUGAGCAGGCUGCGGCACC
rnacentral:lncRNA from 1 species